AGUGAACUCCCACAGGUCUCCAUGGGUUGGGGAUUAAGCUUUGUGUGUGAAUAAUCACCUAAUUAAUCACCUCAGGCAGGGGAUUUAGAGACCUUGAGUCCUUGCUCUUGGAGCAGGUGCCAGGUGUGAACAGGAUAUGCCAAGGUUUCAUUAUAUAGCUCAGUGCUUUCCAGCCUCUCUCUUUUGGAGGCCAGCUCCAGGUGGGUGUGUUCAGAGUGUGUUUUGUUAGCACCAAGGAAUGCAAAACUGAUCACCCCAAGUGAGUGCUUUCUGUGUUCUUUGCGCCGCUGUCCUGUGCGGAAAGGGUGGUGGUGCUGGGAGGAAUAAAUCCUGGUUUCUUGUCACGUAUGACUCAUAGGUAUCAUCCUAUCUAAUGAAUUAGAAUAAAGCAACAACUCAGAAUCUGGUGAAAACUCCGAAAGUCCUUUGAAGUCUGCGCCCCAGAAAUGGACAUCCUGUACCUUUUUGUUGUGCUGGUCGGUGAAUGUCCAAAACUGCAGAUUCCCAUGCAGGCAGAGCUCCUUCUUACAUGUUUUGGAGAAAGGACUUGAGGCUCAGAAGUUUGUUCCUCCUCCCCUCAGCUGUCAGCUGAUCUACAUAAUGGAGUCUGAGUGUUCAGCCUUGCAUAGCAGGUAGUUUUGGAGGAGCCUGCCCUCAUCUCAGCGUAAUCAUUGCAUGGUCACAAUGCAAGUAACUUUGGGUGUUUUUGGAGGAAAGGUCACUGGCUCGGUAACAGUUUCCCCCUGGGAGCUCUGACACAUUUGUGUGCGAGUGCAUGAGGAAAAUGUGUUGUGCAUGUUCUUGUUUUGUGCGCUUAUUGCUUCUUUCAUGAAGGUAUAUGGGCACUUUCAAAAAUACACUUCCAUAGACCUUCUUUUCUUAAGAAAGGCUUAACACUCCAGAAUUGUGUUUGACAAAACAUCAUAGCAAAAUUUUGUUGCUGCAACAGGCUCAUGCUUCAGUUGCUCUCCUCUCCCUGGUUUAAGAGAGAUUUGCUGUUGCUCAUGCUCUUUUCAUGAAGGCCCUCAAAUAUGUGACUCAUGGGGAAAAAAUAUAGCUUAACCUAAACAAUAUUUUUUUCCUAAAUGAAACAAGGCUGUAUGGAAGCUUUGAAUCACCACUGAUAUUGCAAAUGAACCUUACAAUAAACAAAUAACCUGUUGAUGUUUCUGUGCCAAUGAAGGAAGUAUUCAGGAGGACGGUGUAAAGUAAGCACCGCCUGUGUUGUUCCUACAUUGGAGGAAUUACUUUAGAGUCCCAGUGUCCUGAAUUUCCUUCCUCAAAGUGUUUAUACAAAGGUAUCCUGCCCUCUUUGAGUCAGGUGGCGGUGCAUCUUCCCCCAUACCUUUCUGACAGGGGUAAGAGAAGCAUGUAAAUGCUGGGGAAAUUAAAACACAAUUUUCUUUGCCAGAUACCUGAACUAACUUUGCUUUCUGUGUUUGGUGGCUCUUGAUAAAUACAGCACAGAGUGGUUCCUUCUCUGCAUCUCAGAGGCAGACACACAAAACCUACAAUACACAUUCUCUGCAGUGUUUUUUCUCAAGAAGCUCUGGGUAGGAGGUAACGCUGCCUCAAAGAGACUGACCUUUCCAUGCACGAAUUUGUGUAAGUGGCUGCCUGGACCUGCUUCAUCUGGUACCUGCUAUUAUGUUAGAAAAGAUGGGAAACAAUUACUCACUGGUUGGCACAGAGGAGGUAGUCCUGAAAUUUCUGUAGAAAUGGUCUCUGAGUACGCACUCCCCACAGCCUGUGUAUUUUGGGGUUUCCAGUGCCAGAUGUGUUAAGCAAAAGGUCAGACUAAAUCUAGUCCCUAAGAAGUUAAUGGUUGUGU